GACGAACGCUGGCGGCGUGCUUAACACAUGCGAGUCGAACGGAAAGGCCCUGCUUUUGUGGGGUGCUCGAGUGGCGAACGGGUGAGUAACACGUGAGUAACCUGCCCUUUACUUUGGGAUAACUUCAGGAAACUGGGGCUAAUACCGGAUAGGAGCUCCUGCUGCAUGGUGGGGGUUGGAAAGUUUCGGCGGUUGGGGAUGGACUCGCGGCUUAUCAGCUUGUUGGUGGGGUAGUGGCUUACCAAGGCUUUGACGGGUAGCCGGCCUGCGAGGGUGACCGGCCACAUUGGGACUGAGAUACGGCCCAGACUCCUACGGGAGGCAGCAGUGGGGAAUAUUGCACAAUGGGCGGAAGCCUGAUGCAGCAACGCCGCGUGCGGGAUGACGGCCUUCGGGUUGUAAACCGCUUUCGCCUGUGACGAAGCGUGAGUGACGGUAAUGGGUAAAGAAGCACCGGCUAACUACGUG
rnacentral:rRNA from 1 species